CCGAGAAUAUUCGACAAUGGACGAAAGUCUGAUCGAGCGACACCGCGUGAUGGAUGAAGUCCCUCUGGGACGUAAACAUCUUUUAUGAGGGAGAAAGUUUAUUGAUAGUACCUCACGAAUAAGGGGUUGCUAAACUCGUGCCAGCAGCAGCGGUAAUACGAGUGCCCCGAGCGUUAUCCGGAAUCAUUGGGCGUAAAGGGUGUGUAGGUGGCAUUGUUAGUCAGUUGUUAAAACCUGGGGCUUAACCCCAGUAGUGCGACUGAAACGGCAAAGCUAGAGGAUGGCAGGGAUGUAUAGAACUCAUGGAGUAGGGGUGAAAUCCGUUGAUAUCAUGGGGAAUACCGAAAGCGAAGGCAGUACAUUGGGCCACUCCUGACACUGAAACACGAAAGCGUGGGUAGCGAAUGGGAUUAGAUACCCAUGUAGUCCCUGAGCGGGCUGGCAAGGCGCAU
rnacentral:rRNA from 1 species